UCUGAAAGGAUCAAGGGUAAAUGUGUAGUUUACAUUCCGCACGUAGAUAGAUAAGAGCCGAAUCAACUUGAGAACCGGAUGAAUUGCAAGCCCUAGGUUCAAAGAUUCUCUCUCUCUUCGGGCUUUAACCCGCCAUUGCGUCAUGGCAAGGAAGAGGAAGCUCGGACCCAAAUCGACCGGAGCGUCGGAGCCGCCACAGAAGCAGCAGCAGCUGGAGGAGCUGCAAAGGAAGCAUGAGCAGUCAGAAAUUAGGGAUCGCGAGAAUCGGGGAGACGGCGAUGAAGAUGUUGAGUACGAGGAAGUAGAGGAAGAGCGCGAAGAGGAAGCCGAAGACGGAGAUGAUGAUUCCGAGGAAGAGGACGAAGAUGGCGGCGGAGGAAGUGGUAAUCAGAUGGCGGGUUAUCGUACGGAGGCGGUGACGUCGGGGUCUGGGAAUCAGGGAGGUGAAGAAGACGGCGAGCCGAUUCAGGAUCUCUUGGAACCGUUCAGUAAGGAUCAGUUGGUAAUUCUCCUCAAGGAUGCUGCCGAGAAGCACCCCGAUGUAGCGAAUCGUAUCCGGAAAGUGGCGGAUGCGGAUCCUGUUCACCGGAAGAUCUUUGUACAUGGUCUUGGAUGGGACACCAAAGCCGAUGCGCUUAUCGAAGCGUUCAAGCAGUAUGGAGAGAUCGAAGAUUGCAAGGUCGUUGCUGAUAAGAUCUCCGGGAAAUCAAAAGGGUAUGGGUUUAUUCUCUUCAAGUCACGCUCUGGUACUCGCAACGCGCUCAAGCAGCCCCAAAAGAAGAUCGGGAAUCGAAUGACGGCGUGUCAGCUGGCUUCCGUUGGACCUGUACAGGGCGACCCGGCCGCGGCCGCUGCUUCGGCGCCUGCUCAGCAUUCGUCCUCGGAAUACACGCAGAGGAAGAUUUAUGUCAGUAACGUAGGGGCAGAGCUCGAUCCCCAGAAGUUGAUGGCAUUUUUCUCCAGGUACGGAGAGAUUGAAGAAGGUCCGUUGGGGCUUGAUAAAGUAACCGGGAGACCAAAAGGGUUCUGCUUGUUUGUCUACAAGUCCCCCAAAGGCGCCAAGAAGGCUCUGGAGGAGCCUCACAAGAACUUCGAAGGCCAUGUAUUGCAUUGCCAGAAAGCAAUUGACGGUCCAAAACAGGGGAAACAGCAUCACCAUAACUCCCACAAUCACAAUGCUCGUUACCAAAGGAAUGACAACAGUGGUUACAAUGCAGGUGGAGGUCAUGGGCAUCUCACGGCUGGUAACCAUAACCAGGCUGGUAUGGCUGCUGCAUCGGCACUAAACCCGACUCUCGGUCAGGCCCUCACGGCUUUGCUCGCAACUCAGGGUGCUGGAUAUGGACUGAAUCCGGCAAUUGGACAGGCUUUGUUGGGGUCUCUUGGGGCAGCUGCAGGCGUGAACCCUGCAGCUGCAGCUGGAAUGCCUUCUGCUUAUGGCACUCAAGCAAAUAUUUCACCAGGUGUCAUCCCAGGUUACGGUGUUCAGGCUGGUUUGCAAGGCGGUGGCUAUCCAAACCAACAGCCUGGGCAGGGCAGUACUGGAAGAGGGCAGCACGGUGUGGGGCAAUAUGGUGCUCCUUACAUGGGUCACUAGAUGUACCCGCUCAGGUAUAUUGAUGCAGCCUCUUCUUGUUUCAGUUUACGUGGACAUGGAUUGAAUGCAUGAUGACCCUGGUAUGGUAAUCUCCUAUCCUGUUGUGACCAUAAUAGUUCAACAGUCCUUUCCGUUGCCAAUUUUUAUGUGCAUUGAUUCUCAUCUGAUGCUUUUUCAAUGUGUAGUAACUUGUUUUUGUCUUUCGCAUUUCUAACCUUCUCUUUGUUUGACUGAUUUAUAAAGGAUUUUGUAUUUGCACCAUUUUGUAGUGCGAAAAUCUUCUCUUAUUUUCUUAAUUCGUUGUGCAGAUAUCACAAAACAGUGUUUUAGUAUUGGCCUGGUGAUUCUUCUGAAGUUUAUAUGGAGCUGAUGCAAAGAAGUCUUUAUAUUUUGGAUGAAACGUUACUAUUUGGUCACUCCAAAGCCAGACUCUUAAAACCACUUAAGAAGUUUUAGUUUUUUCUCGACCUGUUUUCCUCGACCCUCUUUGUGAUAUUACAAAAACAUUGUACUAUUUUCGGAGUUAAUGUUUCGUUUUAAAUCUUUUUGAACUAUCAUGUGUAAAAAGUGCUCCCUGUGGGCAUACAAAUGCUUUCUUUAUGGUGUUAUGUUUUAUCAGUUUGUAAUUUUCCAUUGGUUUCUCCGAUUUGACCAUUUCAAGUUUUUCUAUGCCUUCAUUGUUGAAUGUGGUGGAACUCAACUCGACCAUUCAAGAUCUCUGUGCCCAUAUUUUUUGUUACUUGCACGGGUUUUUUUUAUAUUUGUCAGAUUAUUAUCAGACUAUAGUUAAAUGUAUAUUAUGCAGGUCUCUCUGUGUAUUAUCCUCCUGAUUUCCAGAGUCUAUGAUUGCUUAACCGUGAUUCCUCUUGCAGGCAGCUGUGAUGAGUGCAGGUUGAAACAGCUUAUGGUAUUUGCACUUGCAGUUACAAACUAACACAACUGAAAACUCUUUAGGAAAUCUAUACUAGUGUCUAGUCCUCUGUUUGAAUAUUAGAAUGCUCUUACUCCAAAGUUUUGAAUCUUCUUUUAUUGACAAAUGCACUAUCUCAAACUUUGAAUUAGUGGUCUACAAAGCUGAAACUUGGUUUCAAGGUGCUGUAUAGCAAUUGGCAGGGAAGCUCGAGAUUGUCCUUUGAAUGAAAGUGAUGAUUCAGGGAUCUCAGAAGGCUAUAAACAGAGGGAGACAAUGGCGUGCGGCAAACAUUGGCUUCCCUCUUGCAAAGUAACCAGCUUAAUCGGUCGGUAGGAUAUUCGUUUCGAAUAUUAAGGUUUGGAGUGAGAACUGAGAACAUUUGACACGUGGGAAACCGCACGCUCGAACCCAGAUGCACCCCAUUUUCCAUUUCCCCACCACCAGACAAUCCCCACGUGGUCCCUAUUUGGGUUUGUCUCUCUUUUUUCCUUUUCUUCUUGUUUUUAUAUUUUCGUUUUUUCCCCACUUCUUGGUUACAGUUUGUGUUGAAUCAAUUUCCAAAAGGGGGUUUCGACUGUUAA